rnacentral:lncRNA from 1 species
ACGCGAUCCUGGUUGAGGGACAACAUUGCCACGGCAUUCGACCAGGAGAAACUGGCUGAAGAUCCGAGCUGUCCGAAGAUCGAGGAGCUGCUCGGACAAGUCGAGGUCUUGUGGGAGCUGUUGAGGAGACGAGAGGGGAGGCCAGGAACCUCCUCGGACAAACCAGCAGAGAAGGAGGAGGAGAAAGAGGAGGAGGGGGAGGAAGAAGUGGAGUUGGGUUUAGAGGGGGAGGAAUGCAGCAAAGGUUCCGCGCAGGCCAAAGUUCCCCCUGAGAAUGUGGGGGAGUGUGAUUCCGGAAUGCUAACAAAGUUCCUGGAGCACCUGGAGCAAAAGGACAGCCAUGGAAUGUGGCAGGUCGUUCACGGUCCCAGCGGACAGCAGCCCAACUGCUUCAGUGUCACGGCGAGGGAGACUCUGGAGGUGCGGGUGGAUCUGAGCAAAACAGGAAGUGAGAGGAAGCAGCCCCUGGCACAUGAUCAGGCGACAGAGCACCUCAUGAAUCUGUUGUCCACUCUGAUGCUGCGCAUCAACGAGCACCUGUCGCGCUGUGCCGAGCUCAGCAUGGACAUCCUGGACCUGGAGUCCGACAUGGCCGUCCUCUGUGACCCCGACCUCGCUGGACUGGAGAGCCUGCAGGAGCAGCAGGACGACCUUGAGGUUGACUUCCAUAUCAUGGAAGGGGAGGUGGAAGACAUGGAGAAACUGGCCACCCAUCUCAAAGGCCAUGCCCCAGAGCAGGCACUCCUCCUGGGGGAGGAGGUCCAGGCGACCCUGCAGGCUUGGGAGGAGGUAGGCCGCAGCCAGGCGGAGAACCGGGGACGGCUGAGCAAGUUCAGACACUUGCAGGAGUUCUUCGAGAAAUACCUGGCCAUGAUUGCCUGGGCGGAGGCCACUCGCUCCUGCGUGUUCUCCAGUGGCUCUGUGCAGCAGGGUAGAGACGAAGAGGGAUCGGUGAUGUCAGAGCUGGACCUCAGGAUCCAGCAGAAGAUGGAGGAGUUCAGUCAGCUCACCUCAUCUGGACAAACACUGAUGGAUGACGGCCAUCACCUGGCUGAGAUUAUCAGGGAAAGAACCGAUGAGCUGCAAAGCAUGCUGGGAUGGAUCCAAGACAACUGGAGGUCCCAGAAGGAUCAACUGAAUCAGAGGAAGAGGUCACCAGGUCUUGUGGAAGGCUCCGGAAACGCUCACCUGGCUCCUGGAAACAAGACAGCAAGCCUUAGGCCCUCAGAGACACAGAGAGUGGUAGAGAAUCUUGCACCUCAAGCUCAGCCAAUCAGUGACAAAGAACCAAUGAACCAACCAUCGGGUCCCGAGCACAAGCACACAGGAAGUGUGUCUAGCAGCCUCAGUGUCACAAGUGCACCCAGGGUUGCCACGGCGCCCAUUAACCCAGGCUCAGCCAGUGUCACCAGCGUCUCCAGCGUCAUUGUUGACGACCCGGGCAAGGUGACGAGGUCUCUGGGUAACAGCAUCUGCCUCAUCCUGAGCUUCGACGAGGAGGAGCGAGGGAUCAGCCAGGUGCAGAAACCAACCGAGUCGCCCGCCGAGGACUCAUCCGAGGCCACACACAGGGUCAGCACUUUCCUACAUGUAACAGACAGCAGCAAAAUGCCAGAGAAGAUUUGUCAGGAUGUUUCUGCGUCUGGAACCAACGAGGAAGAGAGCCUGCCAUCAUUACCACCUCCAUCCUCCUCCUCCUCAUCUUCCUCAUCAUCUUCAACUUCUUCGGCAUCUCCAUCAUCGUCAUCGUCGUCAUCGCCAUCCUCUCCUUCUGUGCCUGCGGUGACUUCAGUCUUCAUUCCUACGCUGUCCAAAAUGGCCGCCGUCCCGUCAUGCUUGGGCGAGAAAAACACGAAACCAGGAAAGCACCAACGCAGAAGCUCCACACUUGGCAUCGCUGGACUGGACGACUCAGCCAGAGCCACCGCUGCCGGUAGACCCAGCAGUGCCUCAUACCGCACCGACACGUGGCCGCUGGGCCGCCGGAAGCAGAGGUGUUCACCAACCAACACGGAGCUGCAAGUUUACGUGAAACCGAACCCUCUUCUUCUGAACUCCGUCCAGACUGGGAGAUCUGUGGCAGAUGCGAGCGACCACGGACACUUACACUCAGACUCGCAGCAGGCCCCAGCUGAGAGCACUAGUGGCAAAAUCAAGAGCCAAUGCUGUUAUCUAUCCAUGGGCUCCACGCUUAGUUUCAACUUGCCCAAAGAUCUGGGUCAGCUUGCGUCUGUGCCUGUUCUUCUUAAUGUCUGCGAUCCACCAAGGAAAGCGAACGAAGUGCACACUGAGAUCAGUGCUGUUGGCUUUGAGUGUGAUACUCAGGCCUCACACCAACAACCUCGUCCAACAACCUUGCCCGUUAUCCAUCAAGAACCACCACGGGUUCCAUGUGCGCCCCAUCAAGAACCGCCGCCGGUUCCAUCUGCGCCCCAUCAAGAACCGCCGCGGGUUCCAUGUGCGUCCCAUCAAGAACCACCACGGGUUCCAUCUGCGUCCAAACAGAAGCAGUUCAUCCUCAGCCCGGUCGAAGAAGCAAACCAUGAGACUCCAUGGGACCAAGGACCUGAGGAAGAUCACCUGUCAGACACGAUUCCUGACCCUUCACAGUCCUCUACAAGGAAUAGCAUUAACACCAUUAGUAGUAGUGCCACUGUUAGCUCCUACCAUAACCAUUCCCCAAGAAUCACUGACUUAUCCACCGGGCAGUCAACGAUUGCUUUGACCGCUUCCUCCUUUCGGGAUGAGGAUGAGGAUGUUGUCCAGGAGAUGGAGACGAAGGCUAAUGAUGAAGAUAGCGCUAGUAAAGCCAGUGUUCAUCUACCAGAGAAACUUCCCUGUUGUGCUGCCGUCUCACAAAACCACAUCUGUGCUGUUGAAGCAACGGCCCGUCUUCACAAGUGCCUGAGUGUUCACACUAAAAUUAAGGACCUUAAUGGACACAUUUAUCACAGGCCCAAAGAAGUGAACUUGAGUAAGUCAAACGACAGCGUCAGCGCAGCAGAAUGCGAGUCCAGUAAGAGUGGGGACUCGGUGAGUUCAAAUGGAAGGCUGAGUGCUCGUAAGACCAGUCGCAUCAUAGUCUGUGCUAACGCCAAUUGUUCAGUGUGUUCUGACACUCCAGUAUCCAGUACAACAGCUAGUUCUAAGGAGUUCAACAGUAGGGCCCGUGGCAAUGGUAUAGAUUCCAUUCAGCUUGGUCGCUGGGAGUUUGAAGAGGAAGAGGAGGAGCUGAAGGGAAUUUGGGAUGGUAAAGGUAACCAUGGUAACAGACAGGAGGUUCAGGCUCACGGAAUUCCUCCUGUGGGUGCAAAGGGCAAAACCAGACGUACACUUCCAUUACAGAAGCUAGGGGAACCACUGAUCCAGUGCCCUCCCCUGCAUUCAGCAGUCCAGAAGGCCCAUGAAAGGUGUGACGUGUUUGCCUGUGAGGAGGAGUUCCCCCCCAGCAUUUCCACACAGCAUCCGGCUCAAUGUGGGCCGGGACUCAGUGACCCUGGAGGAGUGUGUUCACUGGAGCUGGGGGAGAAUGCUCUCUCUCUCAAGAGCAAAUCAGAAUCCUCCAGUCGCAGCGUUCAUGAUCUUUUUGUCAAUACGAAGAAGGAACCAGUGGCCUUCACGCUCACAUUGCAAGGGGGGCCCUCUGGUUACACCGCUGUUCACCCCAGCGACGGGCCGCUCGGUCUGAAACGUCCCGGGAGAACAGAAGAGCACACAGACCUGAGGCUUCCACAAGUCAUGCAGAGCACAUUUAGCAUAACCAGCGCAAACUGA